AACGAACGCUGCGGCGUGCCUAACACAUGCAAGUCGCACGAUGUUUAGGGGGCAACUCCUGAACAUAGUGGCGCACGGGUGAGUAACACGUAGGUAACCUACCCUUCACUGGGGAAUAACCUGUCGAAAGACGGGCUACUUCCGCAUACGUCCAAGACUACUCUGGUAGAUUUGGGGAAAGGCGGCCCGCAAGGGCUGUCGGUGAUGGAUGGGCCUGCGUACCAUUAGCGAGUGGGUGGGGUAAUGGCCUAACAAGGCGACGAUGGUUAGCUGGUCUGAGAGGAUGAUCAGCCACACUGGAACUGACACACGGUCCAGACUCCUACGGGAGGCAGUAGUGGGGAAUAUUGCGCAAUGGGCGAAAGCCUGACGCAACAACGCCGCGUGAGGGAUGAAGGUUCUCGGAUUGUAAACCUCUGUCGGGGGGACAAAAACUAUGCUGGCUAAUAUCCAGCGUAAUUGAUGGUACCCCCAAAGGAAGCACCGGCUAACUCCGUGCCAGCAGCCGCAGUAA
rnacentral:rRNA from 1 species